rnacentral:lncRNA from 1 species
CGUUUCCCCUCCUUGUGCUUUUCUCUCGUGUGCCAUGUGAAGAACCUUGCUUCCUCUUUGCCUUCCACCAUGAUUACUCUUACCAGUUGUUUUAAUUGCUAAGACAACCCAGUUCUGCAUGAGCUACAGCCAACUUCACAAAGCUUCAGGUGCCUGGAUGUUGAGGGGCAAAUAGGACUGUUCACUGAAGGAGCUAGAGAAUGGAAGAGAAGGUUGUGUCAGAUAGAAAUAACAGAAGCUUUCUGAAAUGAAAACAGAAAUGUUACAACUUGCACCACAGUACUGGACUGAAACGAAGAUGUAACACAGCCAUAAUAAUUUAAAUUAAUAGCAAAUAAAUAAAGAAAAAAAGAACUUCAUUGUGAGGACCAUAGUCAUGGGAUAGCUCUGUCUUUUCGGGGAAAGUGGAGUAGAGGGACAGAGUCACCCCAGGAGAAAAAAUGCUUAAAUUAAGACUCCCUGAGAGACUGAAUAAGAGUAUGAUUAGUUCAGCCUUGCUUUCAUCCUCCACUUCCCCCUCCCACUGUAGACUUCAGUUUUAAUAAUGAUUAAAGAAUAAUGCCUGAAUCCCA